UUGGUUAAGUUAGAAAGGGCGCACGGUGGAUGCCUUGGCACUAGGAGCCGAAGAAGGACGGGACUAACACCGAUAUGCUUUGGGGAGCUGUACGUAAGCGUUGAUCCAGAGAUUUCCGAAUGGGGGAACCCACUAUCUUUAGUCGGAUAGUAUCCUUACGUGAAUACAUAGCGUGAGGAAGGCAGACCCAGGGAACUGAAACAUCUAAGUACCUGGAGGAAGAGAAAGAAAAAUCGAUUUCCUGAGUAGCGGCGAGCGAAACGGAAAGAGCCCAAACCAAGAAGCUUGCUUCUUGGGGUUGUAGGACACUCUAUACGGAGUUACAAAAGAAAGUUAUAAAUGAAGCGGUCUGGAAAGGCCCGCCAAAGACGGUAACAGCCCGGUAGUUGAAAUGGCUUUCCCUCCAGAGUGGAUCCUGAGUACGGCGGAACACGUGAAAUUCCGUCGGAAUCCGGGAGGACCAUCUCCCAAGGCUAAAUACUCCCUAGUGACCGAUAGUGAACCAGUACCGUGAGGGAAAGGUGAAAAGCACCCCGGAAGGGGAGUGAAACAGUUCCUGAAACCGUGUGCCUACAAGUAGUUAGAGCCCGUUAAUGGGUGAUAGCGUGCCUUUUGUAGAAUGAACCGGCGAGUUACGAUUUGUUGCAAGGUUAAGCGGAAAAAGCGGAGCCGUAGCGAAAGCGAGUCUGAAUAGGGCGCAUAAGUAACAGGUCGUAGACCCGAAACCAGGUGAUCUACCCAUGUCCAGGAUGAAGGUAAGGUAAUACUUACUGGAGGUCCGAACCCACGCACGUUGAAAAGUGCGGGGAUGAGGUGUGGGUAGCGGAGAAAUUCCAAUCGAACUUGGAGAUAGCUGGUUCUCUCCGAAAUAGCUUUAGGGCUAGCCUCGAGGUAAAGAGUCAUGGAGGUAGAGCACUGUUUGGACUAGGGGCCCUUCUCGGGUUACCGAAUUCAGAUAAACUCCGAAUGCCAUGUACUUAUACUCGGGAGUCAGACUGCGAGUGAUAAGAUCCGUAGUCGAAAGGGAAACAGCCCAGACCACCAGUUAAGGUCCCCAAAUAUAUGUUAAGUGGAAAAGGAUGUGGGGUUGCUUAGACAACCAGGAUGUUGGCUUAGAAGCAGCCACCAUUGAAAGAGUGCGUAAUAGCUCACUGGUCGAGUGACCCCGCGCCGAAAAUGUACCGGGGCUAAACAUAUUACCGAAACUGUGGAUGAACCUCUUUAGAGGUUCGUGGUAGGAGAGCGUUCUAAGGGCGGUGAAGUCAGACCGGAAGGACUGGUGGAGCGCUUAGAAGUGAGAAUGCCGGUAUGAGUAGCGAAAGAAGGGUGAGAAUCCCUUCCACCGAAUAUCUAAGGUUUCCUGAGGAAGGCUCGUCCGCUCAGGGUUAGUCGGGACCUAAGCCGAGGCCGAUAGGCGUAGGCGAUGGACAACAGGUAGAGAUUCCUGUACCAGUGCUAAUUGUUUAACCGAUGGGGUGACACAGAAGGAUAGGGAAUCGCACGAAUGGAAAUGUGCGUCCAAGCAGUGAGUGUGAGAAGUAGGCAAAUCCGCUUCUCGCGAAGCAUGAGCUGUGAUGGGGAAGGAAAUUAAGUACGGAAGUUCCUGAUUUCACGCUGUCAAGAAAAGCCUCUAGGAAGAGUAGUACUGCCCGUACCGCAAACCGACACAGGUAGAUGAGGAGAGAAUCCUAAGGUGAGCGAGAGAACUCUCGUUAAGGAACUCGGCAAAAUGACCCCGUAACUUCGGGAGAAGGGGUGCUCUAUUAGGGUGCAAGCCCGAGAGAGCCGCAGUGAAUAGGCCCAGGCGACUGUUUAGCAAAAACACAGGUCUCUGCAAAACCGUAAGGUGACGUAUAGGGGCUGACGCCUGCCCGGUGCUGGAAGGUUAAGAGGAGUGCUUAGCUUCGGCGAAGGUACGAAUUGAAGCCCCAGUAAACGGCGGCCGUAACUAUAACGGUCCUAAGGUAGCGAAAUUCCUUGUCGGGUAAGUUCCGACCCGCACGAAAGGCGCAACGAUCUGGGCACUGUCUCAACGAGAGACUCGGUGAAAUUAUAGUACCUGUGAAGAUGCAGGUUACCCGCGACAGGACGGAAAGACCCCGUGGAGCUUUACUGCAACCUGAUAUGGAAUGUUUGUACCG
rnacentral:rRNA from 1 species